AAUGAACGCUGGCGGUAGGCCUAAUACAUGCAAGUCGAACGGACACACAAUCAGAGUUUGCCCCUGCGGGUGGCGAGUGGCGGACGGGUCAAAAAUACAUAAUAAACUACUAUUUCUUGGGUGAUAUCGUAGAAAAACUUACGCUAACGCAUCAUACGAUCUACGGCUGUAAUCAGUGGAUCUUCACGCCUUGGGCGAUUGCAUGAGCCGACGUCGGAUUAGCUUGUUGGGGGGGUAAAGUACCACCAAGGCGACGAUCCGUAGCUUGUCUGAGAGGAUGAUCAGCCACACUGGAACUGAGACACGGUCCAGACUCCUACGGGAGGCAGCAGUGGGGAAUAUUGGACAAUGGGCGAAAGCCUGAUCCAGCAAUACCGCGUGGGUGAAGAAGGUCUUCGGGUCGUAAAGCCCUUUUAUUGGGAAAGAAAAGCAGCAGGUUAAUCUCCCGCUGUCCUGACGGUACCCAAUGAAUAAGCACCGGCUAACUUCGUG
rnacentral:rRNA from 1 species